AGGCCACUGCUAUCGGAGUUCGAUUAAGCCAUGCGAGUCGUGAGGGGUAAAGCCCUCGGCGGAGUGCUCAGUAACACGUGGACAACCUACCCAAGAGUCAGGGAUAACCCCGGGAAACUGGGGAUAAUACCUGAUAGGCCAUGACAUCUGGAAUCGAGUUGUGGUUUAAACGUAAGGCUCUUGGAUGGGUCUGCGGCGGAUUAGGUUGUUGCCGGUGUAACGUACCAGCAAGCCUGUAAUCCGUACGGGUUGUGGGAGCAAGAGCCCGGAGAUGGAUUCUGAGACACGAAUCCAGGCCCUACGGGGCGCAGCAGGCGCGAAAACUCUACAAUGCAGGCAACAGCGAUAGGGGAACAUCGAGUGGCAUCCACCAUGGAUGUCUGUCCAAUCGUCAAAAAAACGAUUGUCAGCAAGGGCCGGGCAAGACCGGUGCCAGCCGCCGCGGUAAUACCGGCGGCUCGAGUGGUGGCCGAUAUUAUUGAGUCUAAAGGGUCCGUAGCCGGCUUUGCAAGUCCUAUGGGAAAUCCAGCGGCUUAACCGUUGGGCUUUCAUGGGAUACUACAUUGCUUGGGACUGGGAGAGGUAGGAGGUACUCAGGGGGUAGGGGUGAAAUCCUGUAAUCCUUUGGGGACCACCGGUGGCGAAGGCGUCCUACCAGAACAGGUCCGACGGUGAGGGACGAAAGCUAGGGGCACGAACCGGAUUAGAUACCCGGGUAGUCCCAGCCGUAAACGAUGCUCGCUAGGUGUCAGCAUGGCGCGACCGUGUCUGGUGCCGCAGGAAAGCCGUGAAGCGAGCCACCUGGGAAGUACGGCCGCAAGGCUGAAACUUAA
rnacentral:rRNA from 1 species